CCACCCUUUAAUGUUUGAUGUUCUAACGUUGACCCGUGAUCCGGGUUGCGGACAGUGUCUGGUGGGUAGUUUGACUGGGGCGGUCUCCUCCUAAAGAGUAACGGAGGAGCACGAAGGUUGGCUAAUCCUGGUCGGACAUCAGGAGGUUAGUGCAAUGGCAUAAGCCAGCUUGACUGCGAGCGUGACGGCGCGAGCAGGUGCGAAAGCAGGUCAUAGUGAUCCGGUGGUUCUGAAUGGAAGGGCCAUCGCUCAACGGAUAAAAGGUACUCCGGGGAUAACAGGCUGAUACCGCCCAAGAGUUCAUAUCGACGGCGGUGUUUGGCACCUCGAUGUCGGCUCAUCACAUCCUGGGGCUGAAGUAGGUCCCAAGGGUAUGGCUGUUCGCCAUUUAAAGUGGUACGCGAGCUGGGUUUAGAACGUCGUGAGACAGUUCGGUCCCUAUCUGCCGUGGGCGCUGGAGAACUGAGGGGGGCUGCUCCUAGUACGAGAGGACCGGAGUGGACGCAUCACUGGUGUUCGGGUUGUCAUGCCAAUGGCACUGCCCGGUAGCUAAAUGCGGAAGAGAUAAGUGCUGAAAGCAUCUAAGCACGAAACUUGCCCCGAGAUGAGUUCUCCCUGACUCCUUGAGAGUCCUGAAGGAACGUUGAAGACGACGACGUUGAUAGGCCGGGUGUGUAAGCGCAGCGAU
rnacentral:rRNA from 1 species